GACGAACGCUGGCGGCGUGCCUAAUACAUGCAAGUCGAGCGGACAGAAGGGAGCUUGCUCCCGGAAGUUAGCGGCGGACGGGUGAGUAAUACGUGGGCAACCUACCCUGUAGAUCGGGAUAACAUCGAGAAAUCGGUGCUAAUACCGGAUAAUCAUUUGAAGUGCAUGCUUCGAAUGUAAAAGAUGGCUCCGGCUAUCACUACGGGAUGGGCCCGCGGCGCAUUAGCUAGUUGGUGAGGUAAUGGCUUACCAAGGCAACGAUGCGUAGCCGACCUGGGAGGGUGAUCGGCCACACUGGGACUGAGACACGGCCCAGACUCCUACGGGAGGCAGCAGUAGGGAAUCUUCCGCAAUGGACGAAAGUCUGACGGAGCAACGCCGCGUGAGUGAUGAAGGUUUUCGGAUCGUAAAGCUCUGUUGUUAGGGAAGAACAAGUGCCGUUUGAAUAAGGCGGCACCUUGACGGUACCUAACCAGAAAGCCACGGCUAACUACGUGCCAGCCGCCGCCGUAACAC
rnacentral:rRNA from 1 species